rnacentral:lncRNA from 1 species
AAAUAUUAACCUGGUACGGACAUGUCGGAAGAGCAGACCAAAUAAAUGAAUUGAAUAAAUAAAAUAAUAGAGUGGAUCCCGUUAGGUAGAACGAAGAGAGGCAGACCCCGGAGUUUUUUUAGAUACCAAGUGGACGAAGCAAUGGAAAAAAGACAUCUGCAUGAAGGAGACUAGCAAAACAGAAAGAACGGGAGAGAAGGGUCGAGUGAAGGAAUACAGUGAAAACUAUGAAAAUCCUUAGUAUAUAAUAAAGUCUUCGUCACGGUAUAAAGAGGGACAGUAGAUGUAGCGAUAACGCUACUGAAUCUUUAAAUUAAUUACAUUCACCGACCUCUAACGAAUUCCCUUUUGGAGACGCCUAUGGAAAUCGUCCAUCGUCGCCUACAGUCAAAGCGCAGCGAGUAAGAACCGCCGCGCAUGGGCGUUAUUGGAUCAAUGAACGAGUCGAUUCAAAAAGUCAGUCGGUCACAGAAACUCAAAUUAAGAGGUAUGCAAAUUUAAAUAUUUCCCUUGGGACGAAAUCUGAGAAGAAAAUUGAGUACAAUCAAAUAGAAAACAUAUAAUUAACAACUUAAUCAGUUCAAGAACACAUGGAAACUCCUGGAUACUCAAUUUAAAACGAAAAUAUCAAAGAAUUCAAACAUUUAUAUAAAGCGUUGGACUAUUCAUUAUGGCGGCUUGACUUGAAGUUUUGCAUAACCUCUUCUUCCAGAUUUCGUCCUAUACAUAUAAAUAGAAGCAGUAUUUACAUUGUUCUGUUGGAACAUUACUUUGAAGACCAGUACCUAGUUUUUGGAUCCUUGCUUUUGAUACCAGUAGUUGAGACAACACCACCAUUACCUAAUUUCCACCGCAACUAAUACAACAACAGUUUCUUGCUUUUCCCAACAGAUGUGAACAAGUUUUAGAUUUUUGUCGUGCCUGGAAGGAUCAACCUUUAGGACUUUCUCCUGGAAACAGCUGUGGGAUAAGUUAAGCUUUUAUUUUGAUCAAGGUCUUGAUUUUAAUUCUCACUUUAUUUAUUACCAGUGGAAACUGUUUUAUAUGCAUAUAAGUCAGGUUAUAUAUCUAUAAUUUUUUUGUUUGUCCUUGUAAUAAAUAGGAGUUUUCAAUCAUAAAUAGGACUAUGAAAUAUAGAUAAAUUAGGUAAUGGUCAAUAAUAAAACAAGUUUUUUUAAUAAUAAAUCAGUUCAAAUCAUAAAUAAGUAAAUUCAGUUAGUUUAAAAUUUAAUAAGAUAGAGAAAUAAAAUUUAACAGUUUUGAAUAAGAGAAAGACAUUAAAAUUUAUACAGGUUUUUUUUAUAGCAUUUAAGUAAAGAGUUUUGACCGACUCAGAUCUAGUGUUUUGUAUAUCUCCCAGUAUCUGUGGUCAAGCAUAUUACGUGCACCCAGAUCUGGAACGUUAAGUAGUUGGACAACUGACAGUCCCAGGAUUAUUAUAUUAUUAACCGUAGGUUACGACUUGUGCUUUGUCCCGGACUUUGACUGUUUACCUCUUUGAUAUUUUGUUAUUCGGCCCAAUAGUGGUGUAUAUUUUUAUUAGUGUCCAUAAAGGUCCUGUUAUAUCAUUUAUUCCUCACACACCACUAUUGUUAAACUAUUUAUUGUCUGUAUACUUACUAAAUUAUUAAAUUGUAUUUAUAGAAAUAUUUAUUAAUAAUAAUAAUAUAUUUGUGGUUACUA